rnacentral:rRNA from 1 species
GACGAGGGAUCCUAGCGUUGUUCGGAAUUACUGGGCGUAAAGCGUGCGCAGGCGGUUGUGUAAGACAGGUGUGAAAUCCCCGGGCUUAACCUGGGAACUGCGCUUGUGACUGCACGGCUAGAGUACGGCAGAGGGGGGUGGAAUUCCACGUGUAGCAGUGAAAUGCGUAGAUAUGUGGAGGAACACCAAUGGCGAAGGCAGCCCCCUGGGCCGAUACUGACGCUCAUGCACGAAAGCGUGGGGAGC